GAAUAUUGGACAAUGGGCGAAAGCCUGAUCCAGCCAUGCCGCGUGUGUGAAGAAGGUCUUCGGAUUGUAAAGCACUUUAAGUUGGGAGGAAGGGCAUUAACCUAAUACGUUAGUGUUUUGACGUUACCGACAGAAUAAGCACCGGCUAACUUCGUGCCAGCAGCCGCGGUAAUACGAAGGGUGCAAGCGUUAAUCGGAAUUACUGGGCGUAAAGCGCGCGUAGGUGGUUUGUUAAGUUGAAUGUGAAAGCCCCGGGCUCAACCUGGGAACUGCAUCCAAAACUGGCAAGCUAGAGUAUGGCAGAGGGUGGUGGAAUUUCCAGUGUAGCGGUGAAAUGCGUAGAUAUUGGAAGGAAUACCAGUGGCGAAGGCGGCCACCUGGUCAAAAACUGACGCUGAGGUACGAAAGCGUGGGGAGCAAACAGG
rnacentral:rRNA from 1 species